UGAAAGUGGAAAAAAGGAGUGUGAAAAGGGCAGGAGUUCAGCUGAGCUGGAUGUUUGCUGGCAAAAUGUAAAAGGGAAGAAACCCAACACGUUGGGAAUGAAACUGAGAGGGUGUGCCUUGCUCUGGCAAGGACUGCAGGCCAGUGCAGUGCAGAGAUUCACUAGCAGCAGCCUGAGCAGUGUGGGUUCAGCUGUGUUUGACAGAUUUUCAGGGUCCCUUCCAACAAAUACUGUCACUAUUCCAUGACAAAGUGUGCUUCCUUUGGUGGCAUCCCUUUCCAUAGUUCUGUUGGACAGACUGUGCUCGUUGAC
rnacentral:lncRNA from 1 species